GGGGUGACUGCGUACCUUUUGUAUAAUGGGUCAGCGACUUACGUUUUGUUGCGAGCUUAACCGAAUAGGGGAGGCGAAGCGAAAGCGAGUCUGAUAAGGGCGUUGAGUAGCAAGGCGUAGACCCGAAACCGGAUGAUCUAUCCAUGGCCAGGCUGAAGGUGCCGUAACAGGUACUGGAGGGCCGAACCCACUAAUGUUGAAAAAUUAGGGGAUGAGCUGUGGAUAGGGGUGAAAGGCUAAACAAAUCCGGAUAUAGCUGGUUCUCUCCGAAAGCUAUUUAGGUAGCGCGUCAUGUAUCACUUCCGGGGGUAAAGCACUGUUAUGGCUAGGGGGUCAUCGCGACUUACCAACCCAUGGCAAACUCUGAAUACCGGAAAGUGCGAGCAUGGCAGACAGACUGUGGGUGCUAACGUCCAUGGUCAAGAGGGAAACAACCCAGACCGCCAGCUAAGGUCCCAAAGACAUGGUUAAGUGGGAAACGAAGUGGGAAGGCCCAGACAGCUAGGAGGUUGGCUUAGAAGCAGCCAUCCUUUAAAGAAAGCGUAAUAGCUCACUAGUCGAGUCGUCCUGCGCGGAAGAUGUAACGGGGCUCAAACCAUGCACCGAAGCUGCGGAUUCAGGGAUCAGAUGUCAGGGAUCAGGUAUCGGAUGCCAGGGAUCAAAACCUGGUGUUACGAGAUACUGUCUGACUUUGGACUGAUUGGAUCAGGGGAAAUGUACAGGGAAUCAAAAAAGCGCCAAACCCGCGAAGCGGGGAAGGUGUUGAUCCCUGAUACCUGACCUCUGAUCCCUGAAUGGUAGGAGAGCGUUCUGUAGGCCGAUGAAGGUGGAUUGUCAAGUCUGCUGGAGGUAUCAGAAGUGCGAAUGCUGACAUGAGUAGCGAUAAAGCGGGUGAAAAGCCCGCUCGCCGAAAGCCCAAGGUUUCCUGCGCAACGUUCAUCGGCGCAGGGUGAGUCGGCCCCUAAGGCGAGGCAGAAAUGCGUAGUCGAUGGGAAACAGGUUAAUAUUCCUGUACUUGAAAUAAGUGCGAUGUGGGGACGGAGAAAGUUAGGUCAGCCGCCUGUUGGAAUAGGUGGUUUAAGCGUGUAGGCGUGCCCUGUAGGCAAAUCCGCAGGGCUAAGCUGAGGCGUGAUGACGAGGCGCUACGGCGCUGAAGUGACUGAUACUCAGCUUCCAGGAAAAGCCACUAAGCUUCAGCUUGUUUUGAACCGUACCGCAAACCGACACAGGUGGGCAGGAUGAGAAUUCCAAGGCGCUUGAGAGAACUCAGGAGAAGGAACUCGG
rnacentral:rRNA from 1 species